AGCCAGAGGAAGAUAUUUUUGGUUUAACCUGCCCAAUGUAUUAUUGUAUGAAUGGCCGCGGUACCCUGACCGUGCUAAGGUAGCGUAAUCAGUUGGCUUUUAAAUGGAGUCAGGUAUGAAUGGGAUAACCGGGCUUAGCUGUCUCAAAGACAUUUAUUUGAAUUUACUGUUCAAGUGAAAAAGCUUGACGUAAGAAAAGGGACGAGAAGACCCUUAGAAUUUUGUUUAAAGAGGAUUAUCUCCUCUAUGAUUUUGUUGGGGCGACAGAGAAAUAAUUAAAACUUUCUUUAAAUUAAUCAGUCGGAAUUUUCAGGUUAGGAUAAAUUACCUGAGGGAUAACAGCAUAAUUUUAUAAAUAAGUUUGUGACCUCGAUGUUGGACUAGGAAGCUAAUGGGUUAGCUGCUCAUUGUGCGGAUUCUGUUCGAAUUUUAACUCCUA
rnacentral:rRNA from 2 species